UACAGAGGGUGCGAGCGUUGUCCGGAAUCACUGGGCGUAAAGGGCGCGUAGGCGGCCUGAUAAGUAGGGGGUGAAAUCCUGUGGCUUAACUGCAGGGCUGCCUCCUAGACUGUUAGGCUCGAGCACGGUAGAGGCAGAUGGAAUUCCCGGUGUAGCGGUGGAAUGCGUAGAGAUCGGGAAGAACAUCGGUGGCGAAGGCGGCUUGCUGGGCGUGAUCUGACGCUGAGGCGCGAAAGCGUGGGGAGCGAACAGG
rnacentral:rRNA from 1 species